rnacentral:rRNA from 1 species
AAGGUCCGAGCCCGGGCGAAUUCGCCCUUUACCCUGCUGAACUUAAGCAUACCAAUAAGCGGAGGAAAAGAAACUAACAAGGAUUCCCCUAGUAACUGCGAGUGAAGCGGGAAAAGCUCAAAUUUAAAAUCUGGGGGUCCCUGUGGCCCUCCGAGUUGUAAUCUAGAGAAGUGCUAUCCGCGCUGGACCGUGUACAAGUCUCCUGGAACGGAGCGUCAUAGAGGGUGAGAAUCCCGUCUUUGACACGGACUACCAGGGCUUAUGUGAUGUGCUCUCAAAGAGUCGAGUUGUUUGGGAAUGCAGCUCUAAAUGGGUGGUAAAUUCCAUCUAAAGCUAAAUAUUGGCGAGAGACCGAUAGCGAACAAGUACCGUGAGGGAAAGGUGAAAAGAACUUUGGAAAGAGAGUUAAACAGUACGUGAAAUUGUUGAAAGGGAAACGCUUGAAGUCAGUCGCGUUGCCCAGAAAUCAACCUUGCUUUUGCUUGGUGUACUUUCUGGUUAACGGGUCAGCAUCAAUUUUGACCGGUGGAUAAAGGUCAGGGGAAUGUGGCAUCUUCGGAUGUGUUAUAGCCCUUGGUUGCAUACAUCGAUUGGGAUUGAGGAACUCAGCAUGCCGCAAGGCCGGGUUUUUAACCACGUACAUGCUUAGGAUGCUGGCAUAAUGGCUUUAAUCGACCCGUCUUGAAACACGG